rnacentral:misc_RNA from 1 species
GAUGAAGAACGUAGCGAAAUGCGAUACUUGGUGUGAAUUGCAGAAUCCCGUGAACCAUCGAGUCUUUGAACGCAAGUUGCGCCUCAAGCCAUUAGGUUGAGGGCACGUCUGCCUGGGCGUCACAUAUCGUUGCCUGAUGCCAGUUUCCUCGUGAUGGGUGACUGUGCAGGGCGAAUGAUGGCUUCCCGUGAGCAUUGUUGCCUCAUGGUUGGUUGAAAAUUAAGUCCUUGGUAGGGAGCGCCGUGAUAGAUGGUGGUUGAGUGACGAACGAGACCCAAUCAUGUGAGACCCCUACCGAAUUUGGCCUUCAUGACCCACAUGCGUCUUUGGAACGCUCAUGACGAGACCUCAGGUCAGGCGGGGCUACCCGCUGAGUUUAAGCAUAUCAAUAAGCGGAGGA